rnacentral:lncRNA from 1 species
GUUAAACAUUACUGUUGGAAGUAAUUCCGAAUUUGCACAAGACUGAACCCUAAGAAUAGUUCUGAAUUGGCUUUACAAAUGCAUGUGUUCUUUCUGAGAUUGAAAGAGGAGGAAGAAGAAAGGGAGGAAGAAAGAAAGACCGCAGGAACUGAAAUCAAAAAAGACAAUCCCUUCGUCACCUACAUAAAACCCUCUAAGUAUUGAAAUGGAGUCGAAAGAUAUUUGUUAAGGCUGUGAAGUAUAAAGACAGCAAUUAUUUCUUUGGAAAGUGUCCCUUUAAGGACUUAAGUGAAAGCCUGGAGGAGGCUGCCUCCAGCCAGCAGGAAUUGCCCCUGGCUUUACCAGGAGUGAGAGAAAGAAAGGAAGCAAUUACCCAGUGAACAGUGGUGUAUUAAGGAGCUGCAUUGUGUUUGCAAAACCAGGAUCUCUCCAGCUGGGUGAGCGGAGGGGAUGGUCUCCUGGGGAGGCAGUCAGUGGGGCCAGGACAGCCGGGCAGGUGCAGGAGAUGGAGGCAGAGAACAUCUGGAGGAGCUUUUUGGAUAACACCACUAGGCUUGGAAAGGAGAAUUUCUCAAAGAACUAGUCUCUGGAUGGAUGCUGAAGGGAGUAGGGAGGGGAGUUCUCUCCAACAUCCUUUGUGCAAUAACCAUGGAUGCCAGGGGAAUAUGUUGAGGAAGCAAUCACAAAGACUUGUAUGCUCUGUAAAUAGCAUCUCCUUCAGCGACUGUUGGAGAAAGGAUAUUGGGCUAAAUGAACCACUGAUCUAAUCACUGAGUCUUGUGUUCUUCAAGCAGUCAUCUGUCCUUCCCAGAGUAUAAAUCAGAGUCCUGGAAAGUAAUUAUUACUCUAAAAAGGUUGGAUGUGCCCUCCGUAUCUAUCUGGUAUCCCAAUACAGCUGCAUCUCCAGCUGAGACCCUGGCAGAGCUUGCAGCCAGAUGCAAUACUGGCUGAACUAGAAGAAAGCAUCUCAAGUCAAUCCAGCUUGCAUUCUGCUGUGAGUCUCACCUUUUUGGUGUAAUCUUUUCAUUUAUUCAUCCUCCUUAUUGUGACAGAGCUCUCGCUGUUGCCUAUAGGUCUUAUAACUAUCAUAAUUCACACUGUCGCCUGGUACCCAAAUGGUUAAAUGCAUUUGGCUUUGCUGUCCUCCUCAGUCCCUGUA